ensembl:lncRNA
AUAAAAUUACCGUGCGGGUUGUAUGGAAGUGCGUCAUUCUGAUCAUCAUCUUUUCCGCCACUCCAUUUCUGGCGUGGUGUGUGAGUGCCUGGAAGAUUUUUGGAUGAUUUUGUCUACUAUUUUCUACAUGUGCUACAGAAAGAGGCUGGUUUAACCAGCUGUGGCUUGUCAUUGGACCGUUAGACACUAUCACCUGGCUGGGUUGGUACUUCGGCUCUCCGCAAGAAUUGGGCAACCGGAGUCAGGGAGCUCAGCGCUUUCUCCUUUCCCUCUGGUGGUGGUAUCCUUCACUAACUGCUGUGCUCGAUUUUGGGGUGCUGUGUGUCAGCUGUAUGUUCACAGUUGCUGUCACCGCCAGCCAUCCCAGCAUUGCCUCUCUUGUAGGGUCAAAAAUCAUUCACUGCAACACUGCUCAUUCUCUGCAAUCCCCCAAAUAACACCAGGGUGUCAUAAUGUGAACAGGCCAGGUUUUUUGUGUGGAUGAACAGUCUACUGCAGAGGAUUGAAACCAGACAGAAGAAACACCGAGCUCAUAGAACCCCUAUUCCUUGAAUCACUUGAUCAAGAUUUCUCUAAUCAGGGAAUAGCGACCCACCCAAACAAUUGCAUGCAGAAGAUUUGAACAUCUCCCUCAGAAUACCCGCCUAUGCGGCAGGACUGAUACAACUUGUGGGUAGGAUUUGAACAGAAAGAACCCUUUUGUAAGAAAACCAGAAAACUGUAAAUCCAUUUAUUUCAUUUAAUUCAUUUCCAUUUUAUUGUGACUCUGUAUUUUACUUUAAUUAAUAGUUCAUAAGUAAAGCCGGCAACUUAACUGUACUUACCUUGUCCACUGGUUUCAAUCCAUUUAGUUAGUUAUCAAUACACCUCCCUCCGAAUCUAGUACUG